AAUUACAAUUCGUGGCUUAAUGGACAAGGCGUUUGUCUUCGGAACGAAAAAUUGUGGGUUCGAGUUCCACCGAGAUCG